AACUGGGCUUAGGUGUCACCUGCAGGUUCCCGUGCUGCUCACCUCUUUGAUGGGUUAGGUUGGCAGGAUUGCAAGAUUACGUUCUUCAGUGGCAAUUGUAGUCUCGAGGGGAAAAAUACUCUAAAAUGUCAUGAAUACCAGUGUCAUGAAGCACGUGCCCUGGCCAAAAGGAGCCCUGGAGCCAGGCUCCAGGUUCGCAUCAGCAGACAGGAACUUUUCAGCUGUAACAGUGGAGUCAUAGCAGCCUCUUUGGGGGCACAAGGAACCAGGUGUAGAAAGGACCAAGAAUUCUAGUAGAAUCACCCACUCAGGAUGAGG
rnacentral:lncRNA from 1 species